rnacentral:rRNA from 1 species
AGCAGCCGCGGUAAUUCCAGCUUCAAUAGCGUAUAUUAAAGUUGUUGCAGUUAAAAAGCUCGUAGUUGAAUUUCGGGGUCAGUAGGUUGGUCAUGCCACUGGUAUGUACUGGUCUCACUGAUUCCUCCUUCCUGAUGAACUGUAAUGCCAUUAAUUUGGUGUUGCAGGGAAUCUGGACUGUUACUUUGAAAAAAUUAGAGUGUUUAAAGCAGGCCAACGCCUGAAUACAUUAGCAUGGAAUAAUGAAAUAGGACGUUCGAUCCUAUUUUGUUGGUCUCUAGGAUUGACGUAAUGAUUAAUAGGGAUAGUUGGGGGCAUUAGUAUUCAAUUGUCAGAGGUGAAAUUCUUGGAUUUAUUGAAGACUAACUACUGCGAAAGCAUUUGCCAAGGAUGUUUUCAUUAAUCAAGAACGAAAGUUAGGGGAUCGAAGACGAUCAGAUACCGUCGUAGUCUUAACCAUAAACUAUGCCGACUAGGGAUCGGAUGAUGUUAAUUUUUUAAUGACUCAUUCGGCGCCUUACG